CAGUCCCUGCUUUCCACAGGGAAGAUGCCAGAACUGAGAAUGAUUAGAAGAGAUCAUUGGUUCCACCCCCUCAUUUUAUAGAUGAGGAAACCAAGGCUCAGGAUGGAAAUGACACACUGAGGUCAUGGCGCAGCUCUGAGGCCCAGCUGCCUCCAUGUGCAGACUCACCUACACAGCAGGCUCUUUAGGGAAGACCAGACUUUUGCUAAGCAGUUGCUGUGUGCCUGGCACUGUGCUGGAGAACAGAGAUGGCUGAGUCCUGGCACAUGCAGCGUGCAAAGAGGUCUCACAGACAUCUGCCCAAGGAGAGGGGACUCUGAUCUCCCAGCUCCCAAUCCCCUGAGCUGGCCUCAGGGCUGGGCCUCCAUCUUGUAGGAAACUGAACUUGGAAGUGGUUCCUGCCAGACUUUGGACUGACAGCGUCUCAGCGUCACCACUAGCCAGCUGACUUGGCAUAAGUGACUUUCCUUGUCUCCACCUCCGUUUUCUCUCGUGAAAAAUGGGAACCAGGGUCUUCCUCAAAGAGUUGUAGUGAUGAACUAAAACGCGGUGUGGAAAACUGAGUUCAGUACUUGGCAUACGGCAUCAGUCAGAUCUGAUUCGGCCCCACGCUACUUGACUUCAUUUGAACGUAAUUACCUCUUUGCAGACCCUAUGUCCAAAUCCAGUCACAUUCUGAAGUACGGACGGUUAGGACUCAACAUAUGAGUUGGGGGUGGGACACAGGGCUGGGUUCCAUGGAAGGAGCCAGCAUCUGAUGCCAGUUUGUCAUCUGGUCUCUGUGAUUCCCAGAUUUGCAUUGGAAGAAGGUUGCUCUUGAUUCUAUGUGGUGGGUGAAUUGGCAAGACCAGCUGCAGGGAGACCAGUUAGGAGGCUGCGGCAGACCUCCAGGUGAGAGGUGGUGGUGACGUGACUAAGUGAUAGCAAGGAAUCUGGAAAGGAGGGCAUGGAUUUGAGGAAAGGCAACAGAAGUCACUGUCAACCUCAGUGCCCGAGAUCACCAGUGUCCUUAUUGAUAUUAACCACAGUAAUACUUUGGUGUGUUUUCUUUCUCUCCUCUUUUUCUAUAUACAUAUAUAUGUACAGUUGGGCCUCCGUAUCUGCAGGUUCCAUAUCUGUGGAUUCAACCAACUGUAGCUCGAAAAUAUUUUUUUUUUUUAAAAGUUAUGCUGCUGCUCAUGUGCUUUGCAGUUAGGCCAAUUAUAAUUGCAUCUGAACUGAACACGCAGACGUUUUCUUGUCAUUAUUUCCUAAACAAUAUAGUAUAAUGACUACUUACAUAGCAUUGCAUUGUGGUAGUUCUUAUAGGUAAACUAGAGAUGAUUUAAAGUAUAUGGGAGGAUAUGCAUGGGUUAUACGCAAAUAAUAUGCCGUUUUAUAUAAGGAACUUGAGCAUGGGUAGAUUUUGGUCUCUGCAGGGGGUUCUGAAACGCCUCCUCCUAUACUAAAGCACGACUGCAGGGGUAUAUUUGUAUAGUGUUGGGAUAACAUUGUGUUUAUAAUUUUGUAUGUAGACCGUUAUCUGUAUCUUAUUUUACCAAUUAUCUGAAGCAUUAAAUAUUACUUUAAAAUAUUUUUAAUAAGUGAUUUAUUGUUUCCCUUGUGUGGUUCCUGGAGUCGCAGUAAAAACAUCUUAAUGGAACAUACCUAGGAGAAUUUGAGGAGGAAAAAAAAUGGAGUGAAUGAUGCUGAGAGCUACGCGGGCUGUGUCCUGCAGGUACCACUGGUUCUCCUGCUGUGAGAGAAGCCCAGUUUCCCGACAUCCCCUACGUGUUUAGAGACGUGGGCAUAAAGCCGGCUUCCCUAGGCACGUCCAGGUGCACCGUCAGCUCUUGCCUGUCAUGGAAACAAGCCGAACACCCUGUGCACGCCGAAUACUCUCAAAUAAACCAAGUCCUUUAACUGCUCGUGAACUUGAAUUCUGUUUCUGGUGCAAGCAUUUUCAGGAACUAAGAGGACACGUUUUAGAGCGUUUUAAGUUCCCAUGAAACACAUGAACACAUCUGUAAAUCUACGUUAUUUUUGUAUAUCCUGAUCACCACUAGCACUACUCAGAUUAACCUUAUUUUAGUUACAUUAUAACAGAAAGGCAGUAUUUCUUGAGUGCGUUACAACAAAUCACGGUUGGGUCCAAAUUGCCUGUGAAUGUAACAAAGGUCUAGAGAUUUUGUUUUCUGAGCUGACCUCACUAUGUUAUGUCAGUAACUUCCAGGGACCCUGGGGACAGGCAGCUAGUGCUAUACGAUCUUUCAGAAGUGACUCGCCGACUAUUCACACAACCAUCCCCAACAGUAUGAAUGAAUUUCACAAACAAAUUUUGAGAAAAAGCCAGCCAGCCAUAAAAGAUAAACUACUAUAUGAUUCUAUGUUUCAAAGUUCAAAAGCAGGGAAAACAAAUCUAUUAGGCCAGAUGUUAGGAUAGUGGUUAGCUUGGGGAAAUCGUGACUGACACGAAAUGGGUGUGGGGGGAGGGUGCCUAGGGUGCUGGUAAUAUUUCCUGAACAGCUAUGUUCACUUUGGAAAAGUUCAUAGCACUAUGACUUGUGAUUUUGCACUUUUCUGUAUGUGUGUUAUAUUCUAAUAAGAAGUAAAAUAAAAAUGGUUUGUCCGGGUUCUGGCUGCUGUGUUUGGCAUCGGU